CUCAGCUUGCGUUGAUUACGUCCCUGCCCUUUGUACACACCGCCCGUCGCUCCUACCGAUUGAGUGAUCCGGUGAGCUGUCCGGACUGCGAUUAGUUCAGUUUCUGUUCUCUUCGCGGGAAGUUCUGCAAACCUUAUCACUUAGAGGAAGGAGAAGUCGUAACAAGGUUUCCGUAGGUGAACCUGCGGAAGGAUCAUUC
rnacentral:ncRNA from 1 species